rnacentral:tRNA from 1 species
GGCGCGGUACCCAGCGGCUAGGUGUUCCCUUUGCAAGGGUUCUACGCCGGUUCGAACCGGCCCCGCGCCU